GCAUUGGUGGUUCAGUGGUAGAAUUCUAGCUUGCCAUGUUGGAGACCUGGGUUCGAUUCCCAGCCAAUGCA
rnacentral:tRNA from 1 species